CUUUUUGCAAAAUCAGACAAUUGGAUAAUUUAUUAUUUUGUUAAAUUAUUUUAAAUUAUUAUUUUAAAUGAACAAAAUUUUUAUUUUCAGAUAUUUUAUUUUUUCUUUGUCUGUUGGCAACACUUUUUUCUCUUUAGAUAUAGCUGAUCAAGAUAGAUUCUUGACAUUUAUAGUACCAAGGGUCUUGAAUACAAACACUGUCAUAACAGUUCCUCAUUUGUCACAGACUCAAAAGGGCAGAGGCAGCCCUAGAAUAUUAGAUAUUGAUUUGCAUCAUCCUUAAACUCAUGAUAUUACAGGCACCUAAAAAAAGUAUACAUACAUGUAUAUUCUAUUACUGGUGUAUCUGACAGCCAGUAGCACUAUCAGAAUUCCCACCAUUGCUGACAAAUCCAAUCAAAUCCUGAUCAUUCAUAAGAAAUCAUUGAAAAUAUCAAUCAUUCAGACUUAGUAUUAGGAUCUAAGAGUACUUAAAAGACUCCAAUCUACCUCACUCCCAAUAGAUUUUACCUUGACUUUUUUUUUGACUCAAAACACAAGAAUUCUAUUUGUAGUUCUACUAUUUCCAGAAGGAAAAAUAGACUAACAGAUUUAAUCCACUUCCUGGCAUCAGAAACAUCAGAAGAGGACCUAAAGAAAGCUAACUGGAAGUUCGUCCCAAUUUUUGAAAGUUACUAAUAACAUUUCUUUCCUUUUUAAAACUAAAAGAUGGAUCACUCAAAGAGUUAUCACC
rnacentral:lncRNA from 1 species